CUGAGUGGGGAUUCGAACUUUGGUUUCCCAGGUCUUAGUCCAACACUCUAAGCAGAGAGCCAGUGUGCCAUAAUACUUAAGAGUGUUGGACUAUGACCUGGAAGACCAGGGUUCGAAUCCCCACU